ensembl:processed_transcript
GGCUGUUUCAAUAUGGUCUGUUUGAUGAAAUACACAUUGAGAUUCAUAAAGAGCAGCUAAGCCUAGAAAGAUAAUGGAGGCAUAACCACCCACAUAUUCAAAGGGAUUCAAAUUCACGCUACAAGUUCAUCAUGUGAAAAUCCUUAAAAAAAAGUCCUUCAGUUGUAGAUUCCAUGGUCUCCCAGUCAUGAAAACAUAAUUAAUUUGACAAUCAAAGUUAAUCCAGCAAAGACAGUGAGCAGGAUUGUACAAGGAAAGAGUGGAAUCACAGNNNNAAUACACUCAAUCUUCCUAUCCAUAUAACAAAAAAUAGAAUUAUUUUAUUUAUGUUGACUCUAUAUUUGGAUUUGAAAAAUGUGAAAAUAGAAAAGGCACCCUUUGAGAAGAGAAAACGAACAGUGGGAAGAUGGAAGAAUGAACAGUGAGUGACUGUACAUCGUCAGAGUACCGUAUAAAAUAUCUGAAAAUAUCACAAUAAAAUUCAUUUUCUGCAACUG